AGUCACUGACAUUAGAUACCCGGGUAGUCCUAGCCGUAAACGAUACUCGCUAGGUGUCGGCCACGGUGCGACCGUUGUCGGUGCCGUAGGGAAGCCGUGAAGCGAGCCACCUGGGAAGUACGGCCGCAAGGCUGAAACUUAAAGGAAUUGGCGGGGAGCACAACAACGGGUGGAGCUUGCGGUUUAAUUGGAUUCAACGCCGGAAAUCUUACCGGGACCGACAGCAACAUGAAGGCCAAGCUGAAGACUUUGCCGGAUUAGCUG
rnacentral:rRNA from 1 species